rnacentral:lncRNA from 1 species
ACAUACUCAAGUAUAGGCACAAAGGGGUCCAAAACUAACUUAAAACCCCAACAAACAACACAACUAAACACAUAAGCAUGCUUUGACCACAAAUCAACCAAAACCUCAACUUAUCCUACACAUGCAUCUCUACCCAUAAACCUCCAUAAAACCUUCAUAAAACAUGAAAAGAAGUUCAGGAUCUUCACUUACCUCUUACAAACAAGAAGAUCAAAGAUCCCAAUGUGGAGAUAUGGAGAAACUCUCCCUCAAAGUCUCCAACUUCAACACUUUUGGGUUGCUUAAAACCUUCAAAUAUGCAUAAAACUCAUCAAAACUUUGCAAGAUUUAAGAAAACAUGAAAAUCACCGAAGGAAGAUCAUGGUCUCACCUCUGGCUGUGAAGGGAAAGAAAAUCUUAUCCAUUCACCGACCUAGGGCCUUUUAUAGGUGGCUGGCCAGACCACCUGCGGCGGCAUAACGUGAAACCAAAACUCAUGCAUGUUCGGCGGCUGAACUUCACCUUCGGCGGCCGAACCUUGCAUUUCUUCCUUGGCUCUUUUCUUUCAAAAACUCAUUUCCUUUUACACUUAAAACAUUAACACAUACUAAAAUUCUUUAGAAAAACAUAUCUACUACCCUUCUCGAGGGUUCUGACAUCCGAGAUUCCACCGGAACGUAAAAUUCCGAUGCCGGACUCUAGCCGGGUAUUACAUUCUCUCCCCCUUAAGAACAUUCGUCCCCGAAUGUUCCACAACCAAUGAAACACAGAAAGAGGAGGAAACUAAUCUUAAAACAGAUAUGGAUAUUGCUGGAGCAUAGACUCCCAUGUCUCCCAGGUGCACUCUUCGAGAUUGUGGUGAUUCCAUAGGACUUUCACCAUUGGAAUUUCCUUGUUCCUCAGCUUUCUGAUCUGCGUGUCUAGGAUUCGUACUGGCUGUUCUAUAUAGGUGAGAUCUCCAAAGAUCUCCACAUCAGGCUCACCAAGAACCUUACUCGGAUCUGACACGAACUUUCAGAGCAUAGAAACAUAGAAAACCGGGUGAAUUCUCUCCAUAGAAGCAGGUAAAUCCAGCUUGUACGACACAUUCCCGAUCUUCUGCAAGAUCUCAAAGGGUCCAAUGUACGUGGGGCUAGCUUACCCUUUUUCCCAAACCGAACCACUCCUUUCAUUGGAGACACCUUCAGCAAUACCAUAUCGCCUUUUUGAAACUCUAUCUGCUUCCUGCGGAUAUCUGCAUAGCUUUUCUGUCUGCUUUGAGCAGUCUUGAUCCUCUCUCUGAUCAUGGGCACCACUCUGCUAGUGAUCUCUACUAGCUUCGGCCCUGCAAGAGCCGCCUCUCCUACUUCUUCCCAGCAAAUAGGUGAUCUGCACUUCCUCCCAUACAAAGCUUCAUAAGGGGUCAUCCCUAUGCUCGCAUGAUGGCUGUUAUUGUAAGCAAACUCCACCAAAGGUAGAUGCUGCCUCCAAGAACCGCCAAAGUCUAACACACACAUUCUGAGCAUAUCCUCUAUGGUCUGGACGGUCCUCUCUGACUGUCCGUCAGUCUGUGGAUGGAAAGCAGUGCUGAACUCCAACCUUGUACCCAUAGCACUUUGCAGACUCCACCAAAAUCUGGAGGUGAACUGAGGUCCUCUGUCUGACACUAUAGACACUGGAACUCCAUGCAACCUUACUGUCUCCUCCAAAUAAACUUGUGCUAACUUGUCCACAGAGUAGUUGCUCUUAACAGGGAUGAAAUGAGCAGAUUUCGUGAGUCUUUCCACAAUCACCCAUAUGGAGUCUAUCCUGUUGGACGCUGCCGGUAAGCCCACUACAAAAUCCAUAGCUAUAUUCUCCCAUUUCCACUCUGGAAUCGGCAGUGGGUUAAGCAUUCCAGCCGGCUUCUGAUGUUCCAGUUUCACCCUCUGGCAAACCUCACAAGCGGACACAAACUGUGCCACUUCUUUCUUCAUAGCUGGCCACAAAUACACUCUUUUCAGAUCCUGAUACAUCUUGGUGGCUCCAGGGUGAACACUGUACCUUGCAUUAUGAGCUUCUCUCAUAAUGUCUCCUUUCAAAUUGAUGUCAUCUGGUAUACAUAGUCGAUUCCCAUAGCGAAGGAUCCCUUUGUUGUCAAAUCUGAACGCUGCACUGUUGCCUGACUGAACAGUCCUGGCAAUUUUAACUAACUCAGGGUCCUCAUGCUGUUUCUGAGCCACCUGCUCCAGAAACACAGGAGUCACUCUCAUCUGUGCUAUCAACGCACCCGUAUCAGACACCUCUAGUUGUAGCCCUUCGUCGAUGAGCUUAUCAAACUCCAUCACCACUGGUCUUCUCUCUGCUGCUAUAUGGGACAAAUUGCCAAGUGAUUUCCGGCUUAGGGCAUCUGCCACAACAUUCGCCUUACCCGGAUGGUACUGGAUUCUGCAAUCAUAGUCACUGAGCAGUUCCACCCAUCUUUUCUGCCUCAAAUUCAGCUCUUUCUGACUCAAGAUGUAGUGUAAACUCUUAUGAUCUGUGAAGAUCUCGCAUUUAACCCCAUAAAGGUAAUGCCUCCACAUCUUGAGUGCAAAGAUAACUGCUGCCAUCUCUAGGUCAUGGGUGGGGUAAUUCAACUCAUGCUUCUUGAGCUGUCUAGAAGCAUAGGCAAUCACCCUGUUAUUCUGCAUCAGAACACAACCCAACCCCACUCUGGACGCAUCACAGAACACUGUGAAGUCCUCAUGACUGACAAGCAGAGCUAACACCGGUGCUGAUGUUAAUCUUCUCUUUAGCUCCUCAAAGCUCUCUUCACAUUGGUCCGACCACACGAACCUCUGAUUUUUCUGAGUCAGUUUGGUCAUAGGAGCAGCUAUCUUUGAGAAGUCCUGAACGAACCUCCUGUAGUAACCUGCCAAACCCAGAAAGCUUUUAAUCUCAGUCACUGUGGUGGGUCUAGGCCAGUUAACUACAACUUCUAUCUUCUUGGGGUCUACCUCAAUACCUUCUGCUGAUACAACAUGCCCCAAGAAGGCAAUGCUCCUCAACCAAAACUCACUCUUAGCGAACUUGGCAUACAACCCAUGCUCUCUCAGAGUCUGCAGAACUGUCCUCAGAUGCUGGGCAUGCUCCUCUGCAUCUCGGGAGUACACUAGGAUAUCAUCAAUGAAGACAAUAACAAAGUGAUCCAGAUACUCACUGAAAACUCUGUUCAUGAGAUCCAUGAAUGCUGCAGGGGCGUUAGUCAACCCGAACGGCAUUAUUAAGAACUCAUAAUGCCCAUAUCUGGUCCUGAAAGCUGUCUUUGACACAUCUGCUUCUCUGACUCUCAACUGAUGAUACCCGGACCUCAGAUCUAUUUUCGAGAAACAACCUGCUCCAGCUAGCUGGUCAAAUAGAUUGUCGAUCCUAGGCAGGGGAUACUUAUUCUUGGUCGUGACCUUGUUCAACUGCCUAUAGUCGAUACAAAGUCUGAGGGAUCCAUCCUUCUUUCUGACAAAUAGCACUGGAGCACCCUAAGGUGAGGUACUAGGGCGAAUGAAACCCUUAUCUCCCUAUCAGGUAGGGAGGAAUAGAGAUAGGUCUGGUCCCAGGCAGCAAUUCUAUUUCAAACUCUAUCUCCCUAUCAGGUGGUAGUCCUGGAAGCUCAUCUAGGAAGACGUCUAGAAAAUCUCGGACUACUGGUACUGCGGCUAGUUCCCUAACCUGUCUAUCUAGCUCUCUCACAUGAGCUAGAAACCCCUGACAACCCCUCCUAAGCAAACGACGAGCCUGAAGGGCUGAGAUCAAACCUCUAGGUGUCCCCUUCCUGUCUCCUCUGAAGACACACUCUGACCCAUCUUGGUCUCUAAGACUGACUACCUUGUCUCUGCAGUCCAAGGUAGCUCCAUAUGUAGAUAGCCAAUCCAUCCCUAGAAUGACAUCAAAAUCCGUCAAAUCUAGAACCACUAGGUCAGCUAGAAGGCAUCUACCUUCUAUGAACACUGGACUGAAGCGACAGACUGACACUGCCACUGAUGGGUCACAUUUGGGUCCACUGACCCAGAGAGGACACUCUAACUCAAAGAUCAUCAGACCCAAUCUCUCCACGGCUCUCGAAGCAAUAAAAGAGUGAGAAGCACCGGGGUCCAUCAGAGCAUACACAUCAGAACACCCAAUUAAGAGGUUACCUGACACCACUGUGUUCGAUGUGUUUGCCUCCUCUUGAGUCACAGUGAAGAUCCGUGCUGGGGCUACCAGACCUUCACCUCGGGAACCUGCUGUUGAAGAAGAGGCUGACCCUCUCCCUCUGCCUCUGCCACUACUCUGCGGUAUGGCUGGAGCUGCUGGCUAGAGCUGCUGGCUGUGCUACACUGCCCGAGCUCAUCUGCUGGGAUGGUGCCAUAAAGGUCGCCUGAGGACAUUCUCGUGAAAAAUGUCCCUCCUGCCCACACUUAUAACAGGCGGUAGAUCCCAACCGACAAACUCCUCUGUGCGGUCUCCCGCAUCUCAUGCAGACUGUACUGCCUGUGCUAGAGUUGGAGCCACUACCCAUUCUCAUACUCGACUUGAUCUUGUUCCAGAAAUUGCCUUUCUUAGCCUUAAACUUUUCUCCCUUCUUGCUGCCAGAAGCUGCUGCACUGGGGUCUUAGAACCCGAAGACUGUGCCACUUACUGUUUUACUGAUCCCUGAAUAAUGGCACUCGCCUCCAUCUUCCUUGCGGCAUCCACUAUAGAGUGGAAACUCUCUUUCUCUGCUGGAAGAAUCAAGGAGGAAUACCUGGGAUGCAGUCUCAUAGUAUAUCUCCUUGCCUUUUUCUGGUCAGUGUCAUAAGCCUGACUCACUUACUGAAGCAGAUCCAGGAACUUAUCUGUGUAUUCAUCUACACUCAUCUCCUCGGUCUGCCUCAAUUGCUCAAAUUCUACCACUUUCAACUCCCUGGAACUGUCAGGAAAAGCCCACCCUGCAAACUCAUUGGCGAACUCUCCCCAUGACAUGCUGUCCAACCUGGGGUCCACAUAAUUCUUGAACCACUCGCGAGCCUUCUUGCAUUUUAGUGUGAACCCUGCCAUCUCAAUGGCUCUGCUAUCAUCAGCUCCUAACUCAUCGGUUAUCAUCUUAACCGUUCUGAGGUACUCAAAUGGAUCAUCUCCCGUAUUGAAUUUGGGAGCAUCCAACUUCAGGUACUCUGUCAUUUUCACUUUGCUUCCCUCAGCUGAGCUAGGUUGAGGUACUUGGACAACUGGUGCUCCUGGUUCUGGUGGUGGAGAAGGUACUGAACUUGGCUCUGGGUAUGCUAUACUGGGAUGGAAAGGUGUGGGUGGAUACAUGGGAUAUGGUGGGUAAAAAGGAGGAUAAGGCAUAUAAGGCAUGUAGGUAGGAUAUAGGGUAAAACUCGAGAAAUCCGACGUGCCCCCCAUCGGAUACCCCGGGCCCUGUGGAAAGGGUGGAUAAUGGGGUGGAUAACCAAACCCUGAGGCCUGAGCGCCUCCCUGAGACUCUCCCAUACCCUCUUUCGACCUGCCCAUACCCAUACUUUCCUCUCUUGGCUGCUGAUCCACAUCCAUAGCCUCCCUCACUUCCUCUGAGCUCCCUCCUCUAUCCGCUCCUCUUCUGCUCUCGUCAAAAGACCUUCUAGGGUCCCUUGACAUACCCUCCCUGCUUGAUCUCUGAGACCUUGCCCGUGGCAACGCAGGAGGACGAGCAGCUGUACCCUCACUUUCUGGUGGGACUCCAGUCAAUCGUGCAGAUCGACGAGUUCCUCGCAUCUUAACUUUCUGGAAAACAAUACAUAACAGCACACAUCAGCAUAUAAAUAGCACAUAACAACAAUGCACAUGCAUAACGCAUAGCAUGACACCUCAGCGAAUAGACAGGACUCAACAUCCUAUCCUAGUGGACAUGCUUGCCUAUUGUGCUUGACCUACUAUAACCUCUAUGAGCCCGACACUCUCUAGCUAGGUUCGACCAUAUGAACCUAGGGCUCUGAUACCAAUCUGUAACGACCCGAAAAUCGGACCGCUACCGGCACUAGGAUCUAGGUCGACUUAAGGUCGUCGGGACCCAUAGCAAGCCUGCUAUACUCUCUGUGCACCUGUAAAAUCGCAUACAUGAUCAUACAUUUCCUGUAAAACAUAAAACUGAUUCUCUGAAUCAAGGCUCAACCUAUGUAUGCACUAUCUCUGUACUAUAAAACCCCUUACUAGAGCUUGCUCUAAACGGGUUCAACUCAUACUCUGUUAAGCCUGGUUUUCACAUACUGAGAAAAACAUUCAAAGCACAUAAAUAGACCAUGUAUACAAAAAGGAUUUACAACAUGGGUCAAGCACAAUACUCUACACUAUACACUACUAAACCAAUUCUUUACAAUACUACAUGUCCACACUAUGCUAUUACAAAAUUCUUUACUCUUCCUGUACCCUGCUGACUUUCCUCUGACUCAGAUCCUGCAAGACUGGGGUUAAAGGAGAGGGAUGAGCUAUACUAGCCCAGUGAGUAGAACAGAUAAAACAUGUAAAUCAAACAUGCUCACAUGGAAUGCAUCACAUCACAAGUAAAUCACCCAUCUCAGACGGACAGAUUCAAAAUUCCCUCUGUUCUGUGCCCGGCCCGCGAAGGAGCUACUUAGGACUUCUCUACGCACCCUAUGGUGCUCUGUGCCCGGCCCUCUCAGGGCUCCUCAGGACUUUACUCGGAGGGCUAGUGAAUCCAAAACUAUGUCCGAUCCGUACAAGCAUAAAAUAAUGCAAUGCGUCACAUUAGUGUAGGCUAGUGCACUCACCCUAUUACAUAUCAUGAUGCAUGGAACAUGCUCAAAGCAUUUAAUUUCUCAAUUUAAAACAUGAGGUUUAGUUCCACUCACCUCUGGCUGACUCUGAGCUGACUCUGACUACUCUGAAGCAGUGCUCACUGCUGCUCUCUUCGGUUCCUCUGGUCCGUUCCUACACAAGUGGACUCAAAUGAGGGACCAAACUAGCUCAAGAACAACUCUAGAAUACUCCCCAAAACCCCCCUAAAAACAGCAUAAAAGAAUCAAGAAAAACAUGCAAAAGAAGGCUAGACAGGGCACUUUCGGCGGCAGGUUCGGCGGCCGAAAGUCCCUUCCAGAGCCGAAACUCAAGCACUUUCGGCAGCACUUCGGCUGCUGAAAGUCCUCUCCAGAGACGAAAGUCCCUAAUCUUCGACGGCCGAAACCCUCCUCCAGAGCCGAAAGUCCAAACUUUCGGGGGCAAGCUUGGGCAAGCUUCGGCAGCCGAAACCACCUCCUUGCAUGUUUGGCGGUCGAACCUUCGUUCGGCGGCCGAACCUUCUUUCGGCGGCCGAAACUGGAUUCUCCAGUAAGGCAGAAACGUGUUCUGCUUCAUGCAAACCAACCCAAACUUCACUCAAACAUACAAACCACAACUCCACAAUCUGCAUAUACUCAAGUAUAGGCACAAAGGGGUCCAAAACUAACUUAAAACCCCAACAAACAACACAACUAAACACAUAAGAAUGCUUUGACCACAAAUCAACCAAAACCUCAACUUAUCCUACACAUGCAUCUCUACCCAUAAACCUCCAUAAAACCUUCAUAAAACAUGAAAAGAAGUUCAGGAUCUUCACUUACCUCUUACAAACAAGAAGAUCAAAGAUCCCAACAUGGAGAUAUGGAGAAACUCUCCCUCAAAGUCUCCAAC